rnacentral:tRNA from 1 species
GAGGGUGGAGCUCAGUGAUAGAGCAUGUGCUUAGCAUGCACGAGGUCCUGGGUUCAUUCCCCCAGUGCCUCCA